rnacentral:rRNA from 1 species
UACGUAGGGGGCUAGCGUUGUCCGGAAUCAUUGGGCGUAAAGCGCGCGUAGGCGGUCAGGUAAGUCCGGUGUGAAAGUCAAAGGCUCAACCUUUGAAUGCCGCUGGAUACUGCCUGACUUGAGUCCGGAAGGGGCGAGUGGAAUUCCUGGUGUAGCGGUGAAAUGCGCAGAUAAUCAGGAGGAACACCGGUGGCGAAGGCGGUUCUCUGGGCAUGUUCUGACGCUGAGGAGCGAAAGUGUGGGGAGCGAACAGG